rnacentral:rRNA from 1 species
CAACUCUUAGCGGUGGAUCACUUGGCUCGUGCGUCGAUGAAGAACGCAGCUAGCUGCGAGAAUUAAUGUGAAUUGCAGGACACAUUAAUCAU